GGAAAGAAGGUCUUCAGUGCCCAGUUAAUGGAAAUUAAUGAAUUGAUCCCAGCUGUAGGAUCAGUUAAUACCUUUUUAGACAUCAGAGAAAGCUGAGAGAAAUUCCUUUUAAAUACUCAAUCAGUUAGGAAUCUUCAGUCAAAGCUUGAAUCUGUAUAGAUGUUAAUGCUAACUAAUACAAGGAACCAAAGAAAAGCAACGUGGUCAUCUGGAGGUAGUGAUCCACAGGUGUCCUCAGCCUGGCAGGACCUGGUUUCUGUCUCUAGACAUGAAAAAUCACUGACUUUGAAGAAACAACAGAACGGAAAGGCAGAAGGACUUUUAGUUUUCUCUGGGGGAAAAAAAAAAAAAAAAAAAAAAAGUGAGAAAAGUGGGAGUUUGCAGUUUAUUAAACACCAGAGAAUCUACAGCAGCCAGCAGCAUUAUAAACACUUCAAGAUUCAAAAUACUGGAAAAGCUUUACACAGACAUACAACUUCCUGA
rnacentral:lncRNA from 1 species